AUUGAACGCUGGCGGCAGGCCUAACACAUGCAAGUCGAGCGGAUGAAGGGAGCUUGCUCCUGGAUUCAGCGGCGGACGGGUGAGUAAUGCCUAGGAAUCUGCCUGGUAGUGGGGGAUAACGUCCGGAAACGGGCGCUAAUACCGCAUACGUCCUGAGGGAGAAAGUGGGGGAUCUUCGGACCUUACGCUAUCAGAUGAGCCUAGGUCGGAUUAGCUAGUUGGUGGGGUAAAGGCCUACCAAGGCGACGAUCCGUAACUGGUCUGAGAGGAUGAUCAGUCACACUGGAACUGAGACACGGUCCAGACUCCUACGGGAGGCAGCAGUGGGGAAUAUUGGACAAUGGGCGAAAGACUAAUCCAGCCAUGCCGCGUGUGUGAAGAAGGUCUUCGGAUUGUAAAGCGCUUUAAGUUGGGAGGAAGGGCAGUAAGUUAAUACCUUGCUGUUUUGACGUUACCAAAAGAAUAAGCACCGGCUAACUUCGUG
rnacentral:rRNA from 1 species